rnacentral:rRNA from 1 species
UACGGGGGGAGCAAGCGUUGUUCGGAUUUACUGGGCGGAAAGGGCGCGUAGGCGGCCAGCACAAGUCAGUUGUGAAAUCUCCGAGCUUAACUCGGAAAGGUCAACUGAUACUGUGCGGCUAGAGUGCGGAAGGGGCAACUGGAAUUCUUGGUGUAGCGGUGAAAUGCGUAGAUAUCAAGAGGAACACCUGCGGCGAAGGCGGGUUGCUGGGCCGACACUGACGCUGAGGCGCGAAAGCCAGGGGAGCAAACGGG